rnacentral:lncRNA from 1 species
UGUUGAAAUAGUCACAGCACUGUGUUGCAGUGCAGGCAAACUCCUGCUUGCCAUGAGACUCGGGAUAUCCUGCAGAGAAACAGAAACACCAGCCUUGACAAAGCAUCCAGCUAAAUGUCCUUCAAAUCCUUGAUUCUAAAGAUCCAGUUUGGGUGUGAUUCUAGCAUGCACUGGACCUGGAGUACAUGCCCCACUCAGCACUGCUGUGCUCAAAGAAGUGGUUGAUAACAGAGUGCUAGCAAGGUCAGUAAAUGAGGCAAGGUCAGUAAAUGUACUUGCCAUGUAUAUGUUUCUAGCAUUUUCUCAUUCUGUGGGAAAAAUAAAAUAAAAUAAAUUAUGGAUUACCUAUGCAUAGCAUUUUGGAGAAAGUCUGUCACAUGAAGAACUUCUAUUAUGAUACAUAAAGCUUUGCUUCUUAUCAAAAUGUGAAGCACGAACAAGUCAACCAAUCCACACAGUUAAACUUGUUUUUUCAGUUGAUCCUGAACAGUACAAAUGGCAAACCAAGGCACUAUUACAUCACUCUGGGAUGCAACCUCAUAACAAGGGUAAACUGGUCUGUGUCUGUUAGCAGCUGGUACUCACUUUGCAAUACGCCUUGUCAAAUAUACCUUGCUUGGAAAGGCGAGCCCCCUGGAAAAAUGGCAAAGACAGAUCAAGCAUCCUCUUGCACAGGUAGCUGCCACCCUCCGUGAUUAGGAUUCUAUUCACUGUUGCCUUUCUGCAGAGUACGGAGGUUGUGCGUCGAAACCUGCUGUUCAACAAUCCCAGCUGCAUGCAUCUUAUUAUCCCAGUGCUGAUUACAAGAUCCCAUUGACCACAAGCUGCCUGUCUGCCUGUCUAGAUGGUGUGAUUAGUGUAUAAUCAAUCUUUAAUCCAAUCAGAAAACUCUCUGUCUGCAACUGAUAAAGGUCUCGGCAGGGUACUGAUGAGGCCAGAGCCUUGGUAUCUCUAAGGGGACACCUGCAGCAUGUGAGGUGCAGAAGCUAAGCAGGCUGAUCUAAGAGAAAGGAAUUAAGGUGGUCUGUAACAAAUCUGAUAAACAACAUUCAAACAGAACAAACUAGGUAGCUAAAGUGUAGGGCUCAACAUUCUGAGAGUCCCUGAAAUGCCGUUCUACUCUAAAUCCUAACACAUAGACAGAAUCAUCUUUUAGCUCAGAAAGACCAUCCAAGACAUAACAUUUAGUUUCUGGUCAUUAAAAGCCACCAGAAUAAUUUAUCUGAUUAUCUGAUUUCCUCCAGUGCAUGAAUUGCUCUGUGCUACUUCAUUUUUUUUUUACUUUGUUUUCUCUAUGUCUUCACAGGAUGCUGAAUUGGAGUAUGCGACUUUCCAAAUCAUAAUGCCAGAAAAUAAUUGCCUGUUCACUACUUCUUCUUUUUUAAUUUCUUGACCCAAAUUAAAUAUUUUUUCUCACUUUAUCUCAGUAUUCUUUCCUAAUUCUGCA